rnacentral:rRNA from 1 species
UACAGAGGUCUCAAGCGUUAAUCGGAGUUACUGGGCUUAAAGCGUGUGUAGGCGGGUCCGUAAGUGUCUUGUGAAAUCCCACGGCUCAACCGUGGAACUGCUGGGCAUACUGCGGGUCUUGGGCCAACUAGGGGCAGCCGGAACAAGCGGUGGAGCGGUGAAAUGCGUAGAUAUCGCUUGGAACGCCGAAGGUGAAAACAGGCUGCUGGGGUUGCGCCGACGCUGAGACACGAAAGCCAGGGGAGCAAACGGG